AACGAACGCUGGCGGCAGGCCUAACACAUGCAAGUCGAACGCCCAGUAAUGGGAGUGGCGCACGGGCGCGUAACGCGUGGGAAUAUGCCCUUCACUCCGGAACAACGUUUGGAAACGAACGCUAAUACCGUAUAAUGACUCCGGUCCAAAGAUUUAUCGGUGAAGGAUUAGCCCGCGUUAGAUUAGCUAGUUGGUGAGGUAAUGGCUCACCAAGGCAACGGUCUAUAGGGGGUCUGAGAGGAUGAUCCCCCACACUGGAACUGAGACACGGUCCAGACACCUAAGGGAGGCAGCAGUGAGGAAUAUUGGACAAUGGGCGCAAGCCUGUUCCAGCCAUGCGGCGUGAGUGAUGAAGGCCUUCGGGUUGUAAAGCUCUUUUAACGGUGAAGAUAAUGACGGUAGCCGUAGAAAAAGCCCCGGCUAAAUUCGUGCCAGCCGCCGCAGUAA
rnacentral:rRNA from 1 species